GACGAACGCUGGCGGCGUGCCUAAUACAUGCAAGUAGAACGCACAGUUUAUACCGUAGCUUGCUACACCAUAGACUGUGAGUUGCGAACGGGUGAGUAACGCGUAGGUAACCUGCCUGGUAGCGGGGGAUAACUAUUGGAAACGAUAGCUAAUACCGCAUAAUAUUAAUUAUUGCAUGAUAAUUAAUUGAAAGGUGCAAUUGCACCACUACCAGAUGGACCUGCGUUGUAUUAGCUAGUAGGUGAGGUAACGGCUCACCUAGGCGACGAUACAUAGCCGACCUGAGAGGGUGAUCGGCCACACUGGGACUGAGACACGGCCCAGACUCCUACGGGAGGCAGCAGUAGGGAAUCUUCGGCAAUGGACGAAAGUCUGACCGAGCAACGCCGCGUGAGUGAAGAAGGGUUUCGGAUCGGAAAGCUCUGUUGUAAGAGAAGAACGGGUGUGAGAGUGGAAAGUUCACACUGUGACGGUAUCUUACCAGAAAGAGACGGCUAACUACGUG
rnacentral:rRNA from 1 species